GCCUCCUCUGCUCCCCGCGGUGCCUUCCCUUAGGCUGCCGCGGCGGCGCUCGCCCAACACCUCCAUCCGGGUCCUCGCCGCGGCUCCUUUCCCGGGCGGCGCCGGCGGGAAGCUACGGGCGCAAGCGGGGGCUAAGGCCACUCCCGGCCGCGACGGCGGGCGGAGGCCUUUUCCUGAGCCUGAGGGAAACAAGGAUUACCAAGGAGAAAGCCUUCCUGUGCUGCUCAGCUGGUGGUCCCUUUGCAACAUUCAUCCUUGAAGUUCUCUUCACUGCGGGAUGAGGUAGUAGGUUGUAUAGUUUUAGGGUCACACCCACCACUGGGAGAUAACUAUACAAUCUACUGUCUUUCCUAACGUGAUAGAAAAGUCUGCAUCCGGGCUACCUCAUUGAAAGUUGAUAAUGAUUUGUACAAUAUUUAAGAUUAACUUGUAUUAAAUAGUUGUUGUACAACAUUUCUUUAUAGUGUGCAAGUCAGUUGUUUAUUUUUCUAGAGAUAAAGCAAAAAUCUUUAGCAAGUAGACUGGAUGGGGGGGUAAGGAAAUUUUUUGCUUGUCUCAUUUCUUCAUGUCAGAAUAAGUGUAUAUUUUAUUUUGAUUGAUGUUGAUAAUUUUAUGUUGAAUUUUCUUUCACAAGAGAUUGUUCUCCAUUCCAGAAGAAAAGAUUGCUCUAUCAGAGUGAGGUAGUAGAUUGUAUAGUUGUGGGGUAGUGAUUUUACCCUGUUAUGGAGAUAACUAUACAAUCUAUUGCCUUCCCUGAGGAGUAGACUUGCUGCAUUGUUUUGUUUUUAUACAGAUAAUAUUAAAACUCAAAAGAAUUUAGAUCUUCUUUUGUAUUUACAGUUUACGUGUAUGUUGGUUGGUAAUUUUCCUGUUUGAAAUAUAGUAUACCUACGGUAGACAUGAUGAUCCUGAAUUUCUGAUUUCCAAGUAUGGUAUAUUUCAGAAUUUGAAAUUUAGCAAAAUAGCUCAAAGGGUGGAAUAAGGAAGUACCCUUCAGGAAAUCUUAAUAGGACCAGCCUCUUUGGAAUCAUAAACAGGUUCAGUGCCCUACAUUCUGGUACACAUGUCCAGGGUGAGGUACUAUGGACGGUAAUGGUCACUCUAAACCUGAAGGGCAUUAUCUGAGCCUAAAUGGAGUCAGGCUGAUUAUGAGGCAUUCAUUCCCCAGUUUGGGUUUUUGGGGUGACCUUGUGGAAUCCUGUGACCACUGCUUCAUUUGGUGUGUGUUGAUUUGGACAUGUUUCACUCUCCAACCUGGAAUGGAAGAGUUGGGUUCUGGGUUCUACCCUUGCUCUUUGGUAAGUUACUAAGACCUCAGCUUUGUCCACUAAACCUGUAGUGGUCCUUCUUUCACAAAGGGGAAUCACCUAAAUUCGUCAGAUGGGAGAACCCUUAGUUUGUUACUUAAAAAAAAGUGAAAGGAUAAUGCUGGAAGGUGCUGCUUGAGUUUUAUUAUCCAUAAAGGCCUGUGUUUCGGCUUUCUUUUAGUGGCCAAACCAUAUGCUACCUUGGGCCUUAUAAUCAAGCAAGGAGUAAAACUCCCUGUGUUAAGUGCUUGCUGUUUAAACUAUUUGUUUGGGGAGAAGAGGAAAAAGAAGCUAAGUGUGAAGAUGAGGGACAGGUCCUGAAUAUUUUCGUUUACCCUGGAUCUUAAUUUCAGAGAUAAUCUAGAGUUCAGUAUCCCUGGGAGUAGGAACUUCGCGUGAGAGAAAACAUUAAAUUCUCCCUUGGCUGGGCCGAACCUAAGGGAUUUAUCUUAGGCCAGAUUUAUGGUUUUUAUUUCAUACUGCAUGGAGAGUUGGUCUUUCUUAUAAAGUGGACAUAUAAACAUUGGAAAACCUUUUACAUUCGUUCGUUUUUAAAAUAAUAUUUUAUUGUUCUGGGUAGAGGUUUACAUAGUAGUUUAGGUUCCCAUUCAGCAGUUUCUACACAGAUUUUUCAGUGACAUUGGUUACAUGCUCCACAAUACAUGAACAUUCUCAUUAUUCUGGUUGUUCUGUUUGCAUUAGUAUAGUUUUUUUUGCCCCUUUACAGUCUCAUCUUUGUUUUAAAGUAAUUGUUGACUGAUUGGUUUCAUAGGUGAUUUUUUUUUUAAAGGAGCACAGUAUUUAUGGGUAAUAUUAAUUUUUGAGCCAAUCUGUUAUUUAACCACAGGGUAACAUUAAGGGUUAGUUUCAGUUCAGGGUUUGAAGAGUGUAUGAGGGAGGUAGACUUGGGGAGUCGUCAUUAAGUCUCAACCAGUCCAGUAAGUCUUUUUUUUUUUUUAAGGAAUUUGAGGUUCAUUUCCACAUUUUACUCCCAUUCUGUCAUGGUCCAUCAAUUGUGGCCUUUAUCAAAACAUUUAGGUAGUGGUACCCGUCACCAUCUAGUUCUAUUCUCAGGGUAGAUGAGACCAUGUGUGAUUCAUUUAGACUAUUUGUCCUGUAGGUGGUUUCUUCUUUGAGUCUUUGAUUUCCUUCUUUUUCUUUUUCUCAGAUGAGUAUAGCCAGUAGUACUAUCUCAGAUGGCUGCUCUCAAGUUUUUAAAACCCCAGAUACUACUCACCAAACUAGGCUGUACAGCGUAACUUUAUGAACUAUAUUAUGCCAGCUGACUAAGUUGUCCCAUGAUAUCAUCUUCCCAGUCCUUCAGACCCAGAAAUCCAGUCCCGUGAGGUGUUUGGUCAUGGCCAAGACAUACCCAUAACCAUGUCCCCUAGAUGCUUUGUUAUAUAUGUGAAUAUAUGUGUAUACAGUUACUUAGGUACAUAAAUACAUCCAUAUGUAUAUAUGUAUACACAUAACAUGGGGCCCUGGUGGUGCAGUGGUUAAGAGCCUGGCUGCUAACCAAAAGGUCAGCAGUGCGAAUCCACCAGCUGCUCUCUGGAAACCCUAUGAGGCAGUUCUCUGUCCUGUGGGGUUGCUAUGAGUGGGAAUCAACUGGACGGCCGUGGGUGGGUUUAGUUUAUACCCAUAUAUGCCUACAUACGUACAUACAUACCUGUGCAUACUUUCUGGCUUAUUUUACUGUUUGAAAAUUAUAUAUUCCAUAGCAAUUACCAACAGAUCCUUUUCCUUGUAUACAUUUUACUGACAUCAUUUACCUUCUUAAGCUGUGACACUUAACCCUCCUUUAGUUUUACCUUUCUGAUCACCAAAAAUAACAAGUGUCUACUACAUUUGAAGAAGUACACAGCAUCAGGAUUGGAGGAAUACUCAUUAACAGCCUGUGAUAUGCAGAUGACACAGGCUUGCUAGCUGAAAGGGAAGAGGAUUUGAAACAGUUACUGAUGAAGAUUAAAGCCUACAGCUGUCACUGUGGAUUGUCGUUGUUAGGUGCUGUCAAGUCGGUUCCGACUCACAGCAACCCUAUCCACAACAGAACCAAACACUGCCUGGUCCUGCGUCAUCCUUACAAUCGUCAUUAUGCUUGAGCUCAUUGUUGCAGCCACUGUCAGUCCACCUCGUUGAGAGCCUUCCUCUUUUCCGCUGACCCUGAACUUUGCCAAGCAUGAUGUCCUUCUCCAGGGACUGAUCCCUCCUGACAACAUAUCCAAAGUACGUAAGACACAGUCUUGCCGUUCUUGCUUCUAAGGAGCAUUCUGGUUGUACUUAUUCCAAGACAGAUUUGUUCAUUCUUUUGGCGAUCCAUGGUAUAUUCAGUAUUCUUCGCCAGCACGACAGUUCAAAGGUGUCACUUCUUCGGUCUUUCUGUAUUCAUUGUCCAACUUUCAUAUGCAUAUGAUGCAAUUGAAAAUACCAUGGCUUGGGUCAGGCGCACCUUAGUCUUCAAGGUUGACAUCUUUGCUCUUCAACCCUUUAAACAGGUCCUUUGCAGCAGAUUUACCCAGUGUGCAACGCGUCUUUUGAUUUCUUGGCUGCUGCUUGCUGCUUGCAUGGCUGUUGAUUGUGGAUCCAAGUAAAAUGAAAUCCUUGACAGCUUCAGUCUUUUCUCCGUUUAUCAUAAUGUUGCUCAUUGGUCCAGUUGUGAGGAUUUUUGUUUCCUUUAUUUUGAGGUGCAAUCCAUACUGAAGGCUGCGGUCUUUGAUCUUCAUCAGUAAGUGCUUCAAGUCCUUUCCACUUUUAGCAAACAAUGUUGUGUCAUCUGCGUAACACAGGUUGUUAAUGAGUCUUCCUCCAAUCCUGAUGCCCAGUUCUUCUUCAUAUAGUCCAGCUUCUCGGAUUAUUUGCUCAGCAUACAGAUUGAAUAGGUAUUGAAAGACUAUAACCCUGACGCACACCUUUCCUGACUUUAAACCAAUCCGUAUCCCUUAUAUUCUGUCUAAACAACUGCUUCUUGAUCUAUGUAAAGGUUCCUCAUGAGCACAAUUAAGUGUUCUGGAAUUCCCAAUUUUCACAAUGUUAUCCAUAAUAUGAUCCACAAAGUUGAAUGCCUUUGCAUAGUCAGUAAAGCACAGGUAAUCAUCCUUUUGGAAUUCUCUGCUUUCAGCCAGGAUCCAUCUGACAUCAGCAGUGAUAUCCCUGGUUCCAUGUCCUCUUCUAAAACUGGCCUGAAUUCCUGGCAGUUCCCUGUUGAUAUACUGCUGCAGCCGUUUUUGAAUGAUCUUCAGCAAAAUUUUGCUUGCGUGUGAUAUUAAUGAUAUUGUUCUAAAAUUUUCAUGUUCGAUUGGGUCACCUUUCUUGGGAAUAGGCAUAAAUAUGGAUUUCUUUCAGUCAGUUGGCCAGCAAGCUGCCUUCCAUAUAUCUUGGCAUGGACGAGUGAGCACCUCCAGCGCUGCAUAUGUUUGUUGAAACACCUCAAUGGAUAUUCCAUCAAUUCCAGGAGCCUUGUUUUUUGCCAGUGCCUUCAGAGCAACUUGGACUUCUUCCUUCAGUACCAUUGGUUCCUGAUCAUAUGCUACAUCUUGAAAUGGUUGAACAUUGACUAAUUCUUUUUGCUAUAAUGACUGUGUUUCUUCCAUCUUCUUUUGAUGCUUCCUGCAUCGUUUAAUAUUUUCCCCAUAGAAUCUCUCACUGUUGCAACUUGACGCUUGAAUUUUUUCUUCAGUUCUUUCAACUUGAGAAACGCUGAGCAUGUUCUUCCCUUUUGGUUUUCCAUCUCCAGCUCUUAGCACAUGUCAUUAUAAUACUUUACCUUUUCUUCUCGAGCCACCCUUUGAAAUCUUGUGUUCAGGUCUUUUACUUCAUCAAUUUUUCCUUUUGCUUUAGCUGCUCGACGCUCCAGAGCAAGUUUCAGAGUCUCCUCUGACAUCCAUCUUGGUCUUUUCUUUCUUUCCUGUCUUUUCAGUGACCUCUUGCUUUCUUCGUGGAUGAUGUCCUGGAUGUCAUUCCACACCUCGUUUGGUCUUCGGUCACUAGUGUUCAAUGCGUCAAAAUCCGUUCUUCAGAUGGUCUCUAAAUUCAGGUGGGAUAUAUUCAAAGUUAUAUUUUGACUCUUGUGGACUUGCUCUCAUUUUCUUCAGUUUCAGCUUGAACUUGCAUAUGAGCAAUUGGUGGCCUGUUCCACAGUCGGCCGCUGGCCUUGUUCUGACUGAUGAUAUUGAGCUUUUCCAUUGUCUCCUUCCACAGAUGCAGUUAGUUUGAUUUCUGUGUGUUCAAUCUGAUGAGGUCCAUGUGUAUAAAAACCCAAAAACCAAACCCACUGCAGUCAAGUCGAUUUCAGCUCAUAGCGACCAUGUGUGUAGUCGCUGUUCAUGUUGGUGAAAGGAGGUGUUUGCAGUGAAGAAGUUGUUGGUCUUGAAAAAUGCUAUCAUUCGAUCUCUGGCAUUGUUUCUGUCACCAAGGCCGUGUUUUCCAACUACUGAUCCUUCUUCGUUUCCAACUUUUGCAUUCCAGUCACCAGUAAUUAGCAACGCACCUUAAUUGCAUGUGCGAUCAAUUUCAGACUGCAGCAGCUCAUAAAAAUGUUCUAUUCAUCUUUGGCCUUAGUGGUUGGUGCGUAAAUUUGAAUAAUAGUUGUAUUAACUGGUUUUCUUUGUAGGCAUAUGGAUAUUAUCCUAUCACUGACAGUGUUGUACUUCAGGAUAGAUCUUGAAAUGUUCUUUUUGAUGAUGAAUGCAACACCAUUCCUCUUCAAGUAGCCAUUCCUAGCAUAGUAGACUAUAUGUCUGAUUCAGAACGGCCAAUACUAGUCCAUUUAGCCCACUAAUGCCUAGGAUAUCGACAUUUAUGUGUUCCAUUUCAUCUUUGAUGAUUUCCAGUUUUCCUAGAGUCAUACUUCGUACAUUUCAGGUUCCAGUUAUUAAUGGAUGUUUGCAGCUGUUUCUUCUCAUUUUGAAUCGUGCCACAUCAGCAAAUGAAGGUCCCGAAAGCUUUACUCCGUGCACGUAAUUAAGGUCGACCCUACUUUGCGGAGGCAGCUCUUCCCCAGUCAUCUUUUGAGUGCCUUCCAACCUGGGGGGCUCACCUUCCAGCACUAUAUCAGACAGUGUUCCACUGCUGUUCAUAAGGUUUUCAUUGGGUAAUGCUUUUCAGAAGUAGACUGCCGGGUCCUUCUUCCUAGUCUGUCUUAGUCUGGAAGCUCAGCUGAAACCUGUCCUCCAUGGGUGACCCUGCUGGUAUCUGAAUACCGGUGGCAUAGCUUCCAGCAUCACAGCAACACGCAAGCCCCCACAGUACGACAAACUGACAGACAUGUGGGGGUCAGUAUGGAUUACACCUCAACACAAAGCAAAAAUCCUCACAACUGGACCAAUAAGCAACAUUAUAAAUUAAGAAAGAAUCGAAGUCAAGGAUUUCAUUUUACUUGGAUUCACAAUCAGUGCCUGUGGAAGCAGCAGUCAGGAACUCAAAUUAUUGGGCAAAUCUGCUACAAGAGACCAUUUUCACGUGUUAAAAAGCAAAGAUGUCACUGCACUUGACCCAAUUCGUGGUGUUUUUAAUCACCUCAUACACAUGUGAAAGCUGGACAAUGAAUAAGGAAGACCGAAGAAUUGUUAAUGCCUUUGAAUUAUGGUGUUGGCGAAAAAUAAUGAGCAUACCAUGAACUGCCAGAGUGAAAUAAUCUAUCUUGGAGGAAGUACAGCCAGAAAGCUUCUUGAAAGUGAGGAUGGUGAGACUUCGUCUCACGUAUUUUGGACACAUCAGGAGGGAUCAGUCCCUGGAGAAGAAUAUCGUGCUUGGUGAAGUUAGAGGGUCAUUGAAAAAGAGAAGGACCGUCAAGUAGAUGAUUUGAGGACAGUGGCUGCAACAAUUGGGUCAAACAUGGUGAUUUUGAGGAUGGUGCAGAACCAGGCGGUGUUUCAUCCUGGUGCACAUAGAGUUUCUGUGAGUAGCUACAGAGUCAAGGGCUUCCAAUAAGUCGUCUCUAGAGGGUGAAUCCCCUCUACGACCUCAUCCUUGGUAACCGCUAAUGAACAUCAGCUUCUGUUUAUGUACCUGUUUUGUCAUAUCAUAAUGAGAACAUACAUAUUUUUAAUUUAUUGAUUUAUUUCAUUUAACAUAUUCUCCAGGUUCAUUCAUGUUCCAAAAUGUUUUGGGAACUCAUUUUUCUUUAUUGCUGAGUAGUAGUCGAUUGUAUGUCUGUAGCACGUUUUACUUUUCCAUUCACCCAUUGAUGGGCACUUAGAGUGUUUCUUUUUGCUGUUGUAAAUAGCGUUGCAAUGAACAUAAACAGUGCCAUCGA